AUGUGGUGGAGGAACCAGAGUAUGGCGAGGAAGACCUUUUCCAUCAACAGGGUGACCCAAGGACCACAUCUCGUCAAUGUGCAGUGAUGUGAUCAUCAUAAAUGUACCUUUUUCUUCCCGGAGGAUGGAUUAUUUUACCCUGAUUUACUUUCUCCAGAGCCACUGAGAAAUAUUUUUGUACGCAAUAUUUUCUUUAAACAUUUGAGAUCAUGCAGUUUUAGUAUUUUAAUCCAUUGUUUUAUUUUGUAAACCUGAGUUCUGAAGGGGGUUUUAAAGGUCACUUAACACUGCAAAGUGGUGGUCAAGAGACAUUAUCAAUUUUAUGUGGACAGGGAGGGAGGGAGACUAUAAACAAUUUAUCCAAAUGGCCUCGGUCUAUAUUAGUUGUGUAUAGAUUGAGAAUUGGGUUCAGAAUAUCUAGGGCUUAGCCGUAGCACUGCAUCAGAAUUUGGUUAUUCUGCAGUUUUUCAAACCCAAAGGGUUGUUGUAAAAACUCCACCAAAUUGGUGUUAACCUCGUACCCAAACAAAAUUAUUGUUAGUGGUACGAAACUCCUUCAUAACUGCAGAUGGAGUACUCUGAACUCCAAUGCAGAAGUCUCAGGUGUUUUGAAGAAAUGGGCUAUAAAGAUUUUUUCUUUGAUUCUGCCCUAAAAUACUGUGUUUGGCUAUUCUGUACAAAACUGCUGCAUGCGAUUGUAAAAUUUGUGUAAUGGAAAGGAGACUAACCUUUUUGGGCGUUGCAUUUAUUGAACAGGCAAUGGGAGACACAUUAAUUUUAAUUGGGUGAAUUACACAAUCGUGCGUUUAUUGAAUGAAAUUGUAAAUAUUGCAUGAAAAACAGCAGAAUAUACCAAGCUUUUUUUUAAACAAAAAAUUCAUUCAUCAUGUAAUAUUUUUUGCUUUUUUAAACUGUACUUGGUGUCAAAAUCCCAUUAUUUAAGUUAGUAUUUGGAUUCCCACUUUGCUAAUGCUAUUGAGUGUAUUUACUGGGUGGUAUAUCAAUAUUUUGGAUGGUGGCUUAUGGAAGGUUGAUUUUUCUUUGUCGCUGAUGGCUGUUUAGGACAGAACUGAGUGAUUUGUAGUAGCUUGCUUGUUUUAGAGGCUUGUUUAGAUUGACCUUUAGGUAAAAGUAAGUGGGCUUGGGAACAUGUUUUGCAGCACUGGAACAAAUUAAAAUUGAACUUGAGGACAGUUUACCCAGCAGUUGCAGUAGCUGCCUUAAUUUGCUCUAAUUUCAGCUUUAAUCAUCUGACAUAAUUAGUCAAUGUAAAAUACUAUCAGAAUGGGAUUUUCAUAACAUGACACAUUUCCCCUGUUCCUUCAUAACUGAGGUUUUCAAAAAGAAAUUACGUGAGAAUCUCCAGCAAUAAAACUACGCUAAAGAGAUCUGCAUCCAACUCUUCAAUAUUCACCCUUGUAUCACUGUGUUAAAUAUGUGUUUUUUAGAGUGGGGAGCAGUUAAAAUAAUAAUCAUGUUGCUUAUAUUGCCCUUUUGAUUUUAUGUAUCAUAUAUAUGGUUAAAUAACAAAUGUUAUGCUUCUGUUUAUCAACUUUUAAAAUUGUUUCUCAGAUUUUUAAGUAAAUUGAACACCUAAUAAUAAGGAAUAUUGAGAUUUGAAUAAUGGAGUUCCUUUUGAAUCCAUACGUUUUAUUUGGUUAAGCUUCCUAAAUUUGUCAUUAAUUAGAAUUAUGUAAUGUGAAAUUGUCCUCCAAUAAAAGGGAGCAGAAUAUAGCCUGGGAAACAAUGUUUAAAAAGAUACUUUUGCUUUUAUAUUAAACUUAUUUGAACCAUAGCGGAUGGUCCUAAAAAUCAUGUGCACAUUAACUGUUUCUUAAAUGAUCAAUUUACUGGUAAAAUCAUGAUAUACAUUGCUGUGAUUAUUUUCCUUUAAUCUUUUUAAAAGGUUGCGUUACAAGGUUUCUGGUGUUUCCCUUGUAAAAUCAAACACUUUCCACUGAUUAAAAAUAAAUCCACAAAACAAAUGUGAAUUCUCAGUUUGUUUUAAUUUUGGGGUUUUCGUUAAAGCAAACUAAAUCAUUGCUCUCUUCCACUGGUGUAUGCAUGUCCACAUCCUACCUCUCAUUUGGUGCCCCCUAUAAAACUAAAAUUCCUAGUAGCUUUUAACAUCAGUCUAAUAUCAAUGACUUGGGUAUGAAAGCUGCAGAAGAGCAAGGAAAUUAAGAUUCUAAAGGAACUGAUUUGCCACCAUUGAAAAUGUAAAGCCUAAACUUACUACUAGUCCUUGUUUGGAGAGGAUGUUGAAUGACAUAAUUCAACUGUAUAAUUAAUUUUAAUUUUUGAGCAAUGAAAUAAAAUAAUGUGAACAAAGCCAUUUCUGCCUGUAAUUAUCACAUGAUCAGAUUGUAUGUAGCUGGUGAUAUAGUAAUUUGUGGAGGUGAUUAGUUUCAUUUAUGCAUUUAUGAUACUACUACUUUGGCUUCACCAUUUGCAUCGGGACCUGACGCUGUUUCUGGAAAGAGGCAUGAAAGUAUGAACUAAUUUCAAUGACCUAUGGCUCCAUAGAAAGUAUGUACUGAACAUAAUCUAUAGAAUUAUAAUCUUUGUUUUAAAGAUCUGAACAAACUUCAUCUUGCCCAUGUAGUACAAAUAUUUUGAUUGUCCAUAAAAAUACAUUUACAUUUGAUAUCUAUUGAGUUGGCGAAUGUAAACAUUCUUGGAUACGCUAAGAAGCUAGACACUAUCACCGAGGUGUUUUGCUGUAUGGAGAUGAUGCCAAAAAACAAAAGUUCUGUAACUUGUAAACAUUUUAUAACUGGAAAUUUUAUGAACAUUCAAUAAAUAUGGUUUUACAUAUUAAA